rnacentral:rRNA from 1 species
AUUGAACGCUGGCGGCAUGCCUUACACAUGCAAGUCGAACGGCAGCGGGGGAGAAGCUUGCUUUUCCUGCCGGCGAGUGGCGAACGGGUGAGUAAUACAUCGGAACGUGCCCUGUAGUGGGGGAUAACUAGUCGAAAGAUUAGCUAAUACCGCAUACGACCUGAGGGUGAAAGUGGGGGACCGCAAGGCCUCAUGCUAUAGGAGCGGCCGAUGUCUGAUUAGCUAGUUGGUGGGGUUAAGGCCUACCAAGGCGACGAUCAGUAGCUGGUCUGAGAGGACGAUGAGCCACACUGGGACUGAGACACGGCCCAGACUCCUACGGGAGGCAGCAGUGGGGAAUUUCGGACAAUGGGCGAAAGCCUGAUCCAGCAAUGCCGCGUGUGUGAAGAAGGCCUUCGGGUUGUAAAGCACUUUUGUCCGGAAAGAAAUGGCUCUGGUUAAUACCUGGGGUCGAUGACGGUACCGGAAGAAUAAGGACCGGCUAACUACGUGCCAGCAGCCGCAGUAA